GGUUACAACAGAAAUGUUGCUCCUCCUGCUCAUCUCAGGUUUGAUAGAUGUUUCUGGAAUGUUCCUUACAGCUCUAAAAUAAGCAAUGAAUCACUUGUGCUCUUUUCUGCUGAGUUCAGUCUCUGUACGGGUCACAUUACACAACCUCCUGGCUUCUCUGUAUUAUAGUCUGCAUAUUAUGUAUACCUGCUUGUGAUCUCUGAAGGCCAAUAUUCCAGAUGGAAUUAAACAAGUGGCCAGCUAAAUGUACAUCAGCUUCUCAAAAACGUGCUCAGCUCAGAUUGAAUGAGCAGCAACGCAUCUGUUACGUCAAAUGAAUUCAGGCUGACCAGAAAAUUUGCGCAACUUCACGUCUUGCCGAUCGCUUUUAAAAAAUCAGGACUUUUCAUUUUCUCUUUAUCCAUCUCUCAUCCCCUGUUCAAGCAAAGCUCAGUUAAUGACCACAUUUACAGUAACCCGGAGGCUGAGUUUUACAGUGACCUGAAAACCUCACAACUGAUCUUGUAUAUCUCCAAGUUUGGGCUUACUUACAGAAGCCCUUCAACUCAUGAAGAAAGUCCUACAGAGGACACACAGAACUUUGAUGAGGGAGAAUUCGCUCUACGCGCCAUAUCAAUGCGUCUGGGAAACAAAGAUGAUCCUGGCUCUGGAGAAUGCUCUGGAUCGGGGGAGGGCUCUGGAUCUGGAGAUGUCUUUGAGGAGAGUUCUGGAUCUGGAGACGGUUGUGAUUCUGAAUCCGGAGAUGGCUCUGGGCAGGGUUCUGGUUCAGGAGAGGGUUCAGUGGAUAUUUAAGAGUUUUAAUCAUUGUGUUGCAAAUGAGGUAAAAUGAAUAGAAUAAAACAUAUUACAAGAUCA
rnacentral:lncRNA from 1 species